rnacentral:rRNA from 1 species
AAAGGAAUUGACGGGGGCUCACACAAGCGGUGGAGCAUGUGGCUCAAUUCGAGGCAACGCGAAGAACCUUAUCCUAGGCUUGACAUGGUCGGAUUAGUUCCGUGAAAGCGGAAUGACACCUUCGGGUGGAACGAUCACAGGUGCUGCAUGGCUGUCGUCAGCUCGUGUCGUGAGAUGUCGGGUUUAGUCCUUCAACGAGCGAAACCCCUGUCUCUAGUUGCCAGCAUUCAGUUGGGGACUCUAGAGAGACCGCCGGUGUUAAACCGGAGGAAGGCGGGGACGACGUCAAGUCAUCACGGCCUUUAUGCCUAGGGCUGCACACGUGCUACAAUGGGGCGGACAAAGGGACGCGAACGCGCGAGCGGGAGCAAAUCUCAAAAACCGCCCCCCAGUUCAGAUUGCAGGCUGCAAUUCGCCUGCAUGAAGCCGGAAUCGCUAGUAAUCGCAGAUCAGCUAUGCUGCGGUGAAUGUGUUCCUGAGCCUUGCACACACCGCCCGUC